CGCCUUGAAAACACACACGUACCGGCACAUGGUCCCGGGUGCUGUCGCGCUUUCUCUGAAAAUAUCGAGAGACCCGACAGUCGGAUCCAUGGGGUGCGUGGAGGCCUAAC
rnacentral:sRNA from 1 species